rnacentral:rRNA from 1 species
AACGAACGCUGGCGGCAUGCCUAACACAUGCAAGUCGAACGAGACCUUCGGGUCUAGUGGCGCACGGGUGCGUAACGCGUGGGAACCUGCCCUUAGGUUCGGAAUAACUCCCCGAAAGGGGUGCUAAUACCGGAUAAUGUCUUCGGACCAAAGAUUUAUCGCCUUUGGAUGGGCCCGCGUUGGAUUAGCUAGUUGGUAGGGUAAAAGCCUACCAAGGCGACGAUCCAUAGCUGGUCUGAGAGGAUGAUCAGCCACACUGGGACUGAGACACGGACCAGACGCUGACGGGAGGCAGCAGUGGGGAAUAUUGGACAAGGGGCGAAAGCGUGAUAUAGCCAUACCGCGUGGGUGAAGAAGGCCCUCGGGCUGGAAAGCCCUUUUGUUGGGAAAGAAAAGCAGCAGGUUAAUACCCCGCUGUUAUGACGGUACCCAAAGAAUAAGCACCGGCUAACUUCGUG